GUGGGGAAUAUUGGACAAUGGGCGAAAGCCUGAUCCAGCCAUGCCGCGUGUGUGAAGAAGGUCUUCGGAUUGUAAAGCACUUUAAGUUGGGAGGAAGGGCAGUAAGUUAAUACCUUGCUGUUUUGACGUUACCGACAGAAUAAGCACCGGCUAACUUCGUGCCAGCAGCCGCGGUAAUACGAAGGGUGCAAGCGUUAAUCGGAAUUACUGGGCGUAAAGCGCGCGUAGGUGGUUUUGUAAGUUGGAGGUGAAAUCACCGGGCUCAACCUGGGAACUGCCUCCAAAACUGCAUGACUAGAGUACGGUAGAGGGUAGUGGAAUUUCCGGUGUAGCGGUGAAAUGCGUAGAAAUAGGAAGGAACACCAGUGGCGAAGGCGACUACCUGGACUGAUACUGACACUGAGGUGCGAAAGCGUGGGGAGCAAACAGGAUUAGAUACCCUUGUAGUCC
rnacentral:rRNA from 1 species